CGGCGUGACAUUUGUUCCGCCGGAACUUAUAUCACAGAAAAUAUGUUCCAGCACUGUAAAAUUUGUUCCGGAACUAAUUUUUUGACCAAAUAUGAAAUAAGUUCCAGAACAAAUAUCAUAGCUCCAUGAAUUUUGUUCCAGUUAAUAUUAAAAGUUUUAAAUAAGUUCCUGUGAUAUUAGUUUAAGACCAAUAUGUACAUAUUUCAAAGAAAUCAAUGAAUAAGUUCUUCUCAAACCUAUUUUCACUGAAAUAAGUACCUUUGCAACAUAUUGCACAGCGAAACAUUUUCUUGUUA
rnacentral:lncRNA from 1 species